GACACACGGCGGGUGCUAACGUCCGUCGUGAAGAGGGAAACAACCCAGACCGCCAGCUAAGGUCCCAAAGUCAUGGUUAAGUGGGAAACGAUGUGGGAAGGCCCAGACAGCCAGGAUGUUGGCUUAGAAGCAGCCAUCAUUUAAAGAAAGCGUAAUAGCUCACUGGUCGAGUCGGCCUGCGCGGAAGAUGUAACGGGGCUAAACCAUGCACCGAAGCUGCGGCAGCGAACGUAUCACCCAAGACAACUUUACGGAGUUGACGAUUGACGGAGCGAAGCGACGUCAAAGCGUUCAUUAAAGUCGAGUUGGCUUAGGGAUACGUUCGUUGGGUAGGGGAGCGUUCUGUAAGCCUGUGAAGGUGUGUCGUGAGGCAUGCUGGAGGUAUCAGAAGUGCGAAUGCUGACAUAAGUAACGAUAAAGCGGGUGAAAAGCCCGCUCGCCGGAAGACCAAGGGUUCCUGUCCAACGUUAAUCGGGGCAGGGUGAGUCGACCCCUAAGGCGAGGCCGAAAGGCGUAGUCGAUGGGAAACGGGUUAAUAUUCCCGUACUUGGUGUUACUGCGAAGGGGGGACGGAGAAGGCUAUGUUGGCCGGGCGACGGUUGUCCCGGUUUAAGCGUGUAGGUGUGUGUUCCAGGUAAAUCCGGUUCACUUUAACACUGAGGCGUGACGACGAGGCACUACGGUGCUGAAGCAACAAAUGCCCUGCUUCCAGGAAAAGCCUCUAAGCAUCAGGUAACACGAAAUCGUACCCCAAACCGACACAGGUGGUCAGGUAGAGAAUACCAAGGCGCUUGAGAGAACUCGGGUGAAGGAACUAGGCAAAAUGGUGCCGUAACUUCGGGAGAAGGCACGCUGACACGUAGGUGAAGUGAUUUACUCAUGGAGCUGAAGUCAGUCGAAGAUACCAGCUGGCUGCAACUGUUUAUUAAAAACACAGCACUGUGCAAACACGAAAGUGGACGUAUACGGUGUGACGCCUGCCCGGUGCCGGAAGGUUAAUUGAUGGGGUCAGCGCAAGCGAAGCUCCUGAUCGAAGCCCCGGUAAACGGCGGCCGUAACUAUAACGGUCCUAAGGUAGCGAAAUUCCUUGUCGGGUAAGUUCCGACCUGCACGAAUGGCGUAAUGAUGGCCAGGCUGUCUCCACCCGAGACUCAGUGAAAUUGAACUCGCUGUGAAGAUGCAGUGUACCCGCGGCAAGACGGAAAGACCCCGUGAACCUUUACUAUAGCUUGACACUGAACAUUGAGCCUUGAUGUGUAGGAUAGGUGGGAGGCUUUGAAGUGUGGACGCCAGUCUGCAUGGAGCCGACCUUGAAAUACCACCCUUUAAUGUUUGAUGUUCUAACGUGGACCCGUAAUCCGGGUUGCGGACAGUGUCUGGUGGGUAGUUUGACUGGGGCGGUCUCCUCCUAAAGAGUAACGGAGGAGCACGAAGGUUGGCUAAUCCUGGUCGGACAUCAGGAGGUUAGUGCAAUGGCAUAAGCCAGCUUGACUGCGAGCGUGACGGCGCGAGCAGGUGCGAAAGCAGGUCAUAGUGAUCCGGUGGUUCUGAAUGGAAGGGCCAUCGCUCAACGGAUAAAAGGUACUCCGGGGAUAACAGGCUGAUACCGCCCAAGAGUUCAUAUCGACGGCGGUGUUUGGCACCUCGAUGUCGGCUCAUCACAUCCUGGGGCUGAAGUAGGUCCCAAGGGUAUGGCUGUUCGCCAUUUAAAGUGGUACGCGAGCUGGGUUUAGAACGUCGUGAGACAGUUCGGUCCCUAUCUGCCGUGGGCGCUGGAGAACUGAGGGGGGCUGCUCCUAGUACGAGAGGACCGGAGUGGACGCAUCACUGGUGUUCGGGUUGUCAUGCCAAUGGCACUGCCCGGUAGCUAAAUGCGGAAGAGAUAAGUGCUGAAAGCAUCUAAGCACGAAACUUGCCCCGA
rnacentral:rRNA from 1 species